rnacentral:rRNA from 1 species
UUGAUAGUACCUUACUACUUGGAUAACCGUGGUAAUUCUAGAGCUAAUACAUGCUGAAAACCGCAACUUCGGAAGCGGUGUAUUUAUUAGAUAAAAAACCAACGCCCUUCGGGGCUUCUUGGUGAUUCAUGAUAACUUUACGGAUCGCAUGGCCUUGCGCCGGCGACGGUUCAUUCAAAUUUCUGCCCUAUCAACUUUCGAUGGUAAGGUAUUGGCUUACCAUGGUUUCAACGGGUAACGGGGAAUUAGGGUUCGAUUCCGGAGAGGGAGCCUGAGAAACGGCUACCACAUCCAAGGAAGGCAGCAGGCGCGCAAAUUACCCAAUCCCGACACGGGGAGGUAGUGACAAUAAAUACUGAUACAGGGCUCUUUUGGGUCUUGUAAUUGGAAUGAGUACAAUUUAAACCUCUUAACGAGGAACAAUUGGAGGGCAAGUCUGGUGCCAGCAGCCGCGGUAAUUCCAGCUCCAAUAGCGUAUAUUAAAGUUGUUGCAGUUAAAAAGCUCGUAGUUGAAACUUGGGUCUGGCUGGCAGGUCCGCCUCACCGCGUGUACUUGUCCGGCCGGGCCUUCCUUCUGGAGAACCUCAUGCCCUUCACUGGGCGUGUUGGGGACCAGGACUUUUACUUUGAAAAAAUUAGAGUGUUCAAAGCAGGCCUUUGCUCGAAUACGUUAGCAUGGAAUAAUAGAAUAGGACGUGCGGUCCUAUUUUGUUGGUUUCUAGGACCGCCGUAAUGAUUAAUAGGGACAGUCGGGGGCAUCAGUAUUCAAUUGUCAGAGGUGAAAUUCUUGGAUUUAUUGAAGACUAACUACUGCGAAAGCAUUUGCCAAGGAUGUUUUCAUUAAUCAGUGAACGAAAGUUAGGGGAUCGAAGACGAUCAGAUACCGUCGUAGUCUUAACCGUAAACUAUGCCGACUAGGGAUCGGGCGAUGUUCUUUUUCUGACUCGCUCGGCACCUUACGAGAAAUCAAA